UACGAAGGGGGCUAGCGUUGUUCGGAAUUACUGGGCGUAAAGCGCACGUAGGCGGAUAUUUAAGUCAGGGGUGAAAUCCCAGAGCUCAACUCUGGAACUGCCUUUGAUACUGGGUAUCUAGAGUAUGGAAGAGGUGAGUGGAAUUCCGAGUGUAGAGGUGAAAUUCGUAGAUAUUCGGAGGAACACCAGUGGCGAAGGCGGCUCACUGGCCCGAUACUGACGCUGAGGCACGAAAGCGUGGGGAGCAAACAGG
rnacentral:rRNA from 1 species